UGGAGGCAGCAGUGGGGAAUUGUUCGCAAUGGGCGCAAGCCUGACGACGCAACGCCGCGUGGAGGACGAAGAUCUUCGGAUCGUAAACUCCUGUCGAGCGGGACGAACGGCCCCGGACCUAAUACGUCCGGGGAGUGACGGUACCGCGAGAGGAAGCCCCGGCUAACUCCGUGCCAGCAGCCGCGGUAAUACGGGGGGGGCAAGCGUUGUUCGGAAUUACUGGGCGUAAAGGGCUCGUAGGCGGCCUUGUUAGUCGGACGUGAAAUCCCUCGGCUUAACCGGGGAACUGCGUCCGAUACUGCGAGGCUUGAAUCCGGGAGAGGGAUGCGGAAUUCCAGGUGUAGCGGUGAAAUGCGUAGAUAUCUGGAGGAACACCGGUGGCGAAGGCGGCAUCCUGGACCGGUAUUGACGCUGAGGAGCGAAAGCCAGGGGAGCAAACGGGAUUAGAUACCCUGGUAGG
rnacentral:rRNA from 1 species